rnacentral:lncRNA from 1 species
ACAGAUGGUAAAGCAGUUUCCUCCAGCCAAUUCAGGCUGAGAUGGCUCGGGGGGAAACACAGAGGUAGGCAGCCAUGCAGGAAACCAUCAAACCAAGAAGGUAGUGUUGUUAUAUCACAGCCUGGGGGACUUUGGAGAGAGCCUUACACAGCUGCAGAGGAAGGGCAUGUGUGCGCCAGUCCCCAGCCCUACCCUGCGAGUACUGGAGCCCACAAUAACCUCUCUCUCUCUUGUUCACACAUACACCCACACACCCCUCUCAUACUCCCCACCACAGGAAGCCCAGCUGAAAUAAAUCAGCCACUAGCCCUUUCCUCCCCUCAGCUGAGGCUGUUCAUAUACAGGCUCCUACUCUGUCUACAGCUGCUGAAGGAUCCCUGUCCGGCUCCUCCCAGAAAAGACACAGCCACAGAAGCCAGUGAACUACUGCAGCUCCCCCAGGGGACAGCAGGUACGACAAUGAGAAGGUCCUUCUUACCUCAGAAGAGAGAAAAAUCAACUUCUGCAGCAUUGCCCCGAAUAGUUGGCGAAGAGAGUGUUGCGCAACCAUUGUAUAAAGGAGGAUAUGACGUUCAAAAAGGCCUGUUGAUUAAUGAUGGAAGUACCUCAAUGUUCCUUGAAUCAGGCUUCGCCGCCACCCCCUAUAAUCAAGUAGCUCACAAAGAGACAUUAUACAGACAAAGCCAUGGGAACUGAAGAAACAAAUACGCCAUUGGCACACCACCAGAACCAUGGCAGGAGAGCAGGACAAUGGGGAUAGCUACUGAUGAAGGUGAUCAGAACCAUAGUGCAAAAGAGGAGCAUGACGCCAGACCACUCACCCAACUUUUGUUUAAGACUCUAGAACAGGGGUUGGCAACCUUUCAGAAGUGGUGUGCCGAGUCUUCAUUUAUUCAUUCUAAUUUAAGGUUUCGCGUGCCAGUAAUACAUUAACGCUUUUAGAAGGGCUCUUUCUAUAAAAAUCUAUAAUAUAUAACUAAACUAUUGUUGUAUGUAAAGUAAAUAAGGAUUUUAACAUUUUUAAGCUUCAUUUAAAAUUAAAUUAAAAUGCAGAGCUCCCCGGACUGGUGGGCAGGACCCGGGCAGUGUGCCACUGAAAAUUAGCUCGCAUGCCGCCUUCAGCAUACAUGCCAUAGAUUGCCUACCCCUCCUUUAGAACCUUAACAGGACACUUCAAAUGAUUCAAAACACAGCGGGGUUGGGGAGCAGUAGAGAGAGAAGUUGUGUGGCUAAAUGUUUAAGAGGCUGAAGUAGAACUGGUGGAGGGGAAUGGUACUAAGAACUAGCCAUGGUAGCUCAGCUGGUAUGUGUGUUUAAGGUCAAUGAAUUAAGACCAUCCCAAGGCAAACUUUUUCCUUUCAAUACAAUGAGCUGAAGGUGCCCCUUGAUGCACAAAAUAAAGGUAUUAAGGCAUGCCUUACGUGCA